UGUGAAGGUGUACACUGUUGGGCCGGCCUGC
rnacentral:piRNA from 1 species